CUUUUCACACCCUACGCAGUUUCUACUGUUCAUUAACCGGUUUGUCCUAGGAUACAAAAUGUAGCCUUUGAGCUUUUGGGGUGUUCAUUUCCUCUUUCCUUUAAUCCUAAUCUCGUGUAUAGAAAUUCUAAACAAUCUAAGGCAAUUGAGACAUAUACCUAAAUUGAACCCAAAAUACCUAAAGCUUGUUCCUUUGAUGUUCUUGUUGUGUAUCCUUUAUUGAAUUUCUUCUUGUUGUGUAUGUUUUCUGGUUUCUGCAGAUAUUGUGUUAAAUAUGGGAUUAUUGUUAUUAUUAUUUUUUCCGUUCGAUCUUUUGGGAGAUCAAACCCCAUAUACCUAUUAUGCUACGAGAGUGGAGAAGAUUGAGGCUAACCCAAGUAAAGGCCUGAUUGAUAUCCAGACCUUGCAGACCGAUAAUGACAAAAUCGAAGCCAACUCCUGAAACACCCUCGCCCGCAUCCUCUCAUGGAGGUGAUUCACCAGCUCUUUGAAAGAGAAACGAGCAAUCUGAUUGUUCAGUCUAUUUCAAUCCUACUGGAGUCGCUGGUUUGGUUUCUUCAGAUUGGGUUCAACCUUCUGCGUCACUAUGUUCGGCUUAUAGAUUUACAGGGAAGGAGAAACCUUCUAUAAAUUGGGAGACUCGGAUGCAAAUUACUCUAGGUUCUGCAAAUGGAUUGACAUAUCUGCAUGACACGAGUCAACGAUUAUACACUGUCAUAUUAAAUUUGCUAACAUUCUUCUCGACCACAAAUUUGAAGCCAAGUGAAAAUGGCUGCAAAGAUUUUACAUUCUUUCACCAGAGAUAAUUCAGAAUUGCAAAAGCAAAUAGGAUAUAUGACAAGCAUCUUUCGAUUGUUCGAUCGUCAGUCUGUUCUUAUUGGGAGGCGCAUCUUUGGCCACAACUCAAAGGGGCUGUUGAUAGGCCCAGCUAAAUAUAUUUAUUCUAGAGGGGUCAAGAAGAUUGGAGGAGGGCAGAGGCUGCAACAAAGAACUGUGACAAUGUAGUUACUUGUAGUUUGGUGGUUUACUUCAAAACUGACUUUAGUGGAUGCUUCAUUUAUUUAAAGGAAUAAGAGUGGUGAAUUUGAGCUUUUCA